rnacentral:rRNA from 1 species
UAGGGAAUCUUCGGCAAUGGGGGGAACCCUGACCGAGCAACGCCGCGUGAGUGAAGAAGGUUUUCGGAUCGUAAAACUCUGUUGUUAGAGAAGAACAGCGCAUAGAGUAACUGUUAUGCGUGUGACGGUAUCUAACCAGAAAGCCACGGCUAACUACGUGCCAGCAGCCGCGGUAAUACGUAGGUGGCAAGCGUUGUCCGGAUUUAUUGGGCGUAAAGCGAGCGCAGGCGGUCAAUUAAGUCUGAUGUGAAAGCCCCCGGCUCAACCGGGGAGGGUCAGUGGAAACGGGUUGACUUGAGUGCAGAAGAGGAGAGUGGAAUUCCAUGUGUAACGGUGAAAUGCGUAGAUAUAUGGAGGAACACCAGUGGCGAAGGCGACUCUCUGGUCUGUAACUGACGCUGAGGCUCGAAAGCGUGGGUAGCAAACAGG